AACUAUGUCUAUUUACUUUGAUGGAGCAUGAUAAUGGGAGAAAAAAUAAUGUAUACAUAUAUGUGUAACUGGGUCACUAUGCUGUACAGUAGAAAAAAAAGGAUUUUAUUGGGGAAACGACUAUAAAAAAAGAAAGAAUUAGUGUUAUUUUUAACUUUUUUGGUCUUCUUUUGGCUGCAUCUGUGGCAUUUGAAGGUUCCCAGGCUAGGGGCCCAAUCAGAGCUGUGGCCUCUGGCCACAGCCACAGUAACAUCAGAUCUGAUCCGCAUCUCACAUCUCACAGCAGUGCCAGAUCCUUAACUCUUUGAGCAAAGCCAGGUGUUGAACCCACAUCCUCAUGGAUGCUAGUAGGGUUCGUUAACCAAUGAGUCACGAUGGGAACUCCCUAUUUUUAGGUUUUAAGGAGGAUGUAAACUAGUAGUUGAAGUGUCAAUAAUGACUCCCUUCCAGAAGUAUUUAUUAACUGGUGAUCUCAUUACCCAUUCAUGAUUUUAGAAAAAGUAGCAAACUUUGUUUUAAGCCCAAUGAGAUGCUUUACUGUAGAAGGUCAUGAGUCAGACCUAGGAUGCUUCAAAUAAAACUCAUACUUAGAGAGUUCCAAAAUUUUAUAUACAUAUUCAUAUCAAUAUGACUUGGAUGCCUACAACUAAGGAAAGCCAAUAUAGCAUGACAGGUGGUAAUAAAGCACUUCCCAUCAGACAUAUUUCUUGAGAAAAACCCAUGCAGAGCAGUAUCAACAGCCCAUGGAUGAAGAUGUGAACAACAGUGUUGACCACUUUAGGGAAUGGGUCUUACAGGGGCAGGCAAAUGGUCAAGGAUCCAAGAGACAGAUGUCCAGUGACAGUGGGGAAACUGGGCCAGGCACCCAUGGGUGUGUCUGGCCAAAGGAGGCAUCCUUUCUCUAGACCAGCAAAAAGGUCAAAGCCCGGUUCAGGUUUUGGCUCUGGAACCUGAUCAGACUGAGUGGCUCCAUGUCUGCAGCUUAAUCAGGUGGGAUGGUGGUGGAAGAUGCCCUUGUCCUUCUACAAAGAAAUCUAGGAUGUUAAAUGGAAACUUCAUCAGAACCUCACCAAGGGUCACUCUGAGCGAAUAUUAAAAAUGUAGAGAGUAAUAUGCUCUUCUGAUCUGUCUCUUCCCAUCUACUCACCCAACACCUUACUCAUCCAUUUCUGAUUAGUAAUUUGGUUCUAGCUCAGUCAGAAAGAUGUGCUGCUGUAUCCUAGGACCACUGUUUCACUUUUAUUUGGGGAGGAUAAUCUAUCUGCCAUGGUCCCAUAGUUAUGAUAAUUCAGGAGGAUCUGUGCAAGGUCUGCUCCAAAACUCAACUCUGAUUCAUAGGGAGGGAAAGCCAGUGAUUUUUAUUCUAAGUCAGUUGUCAUCCUAAGCCAAAUUUGGUAUUUUAUUUCUUUCAAAUCAAAAAUAUAUUAGAUGCUUUUAUGAUUUUUCUGCAUACACAGAAGAGGAAAUGGAAAUUCAGAAGAGUUAAGUUGAUUGUGUGAGGUGACACACUUUGAUAGUUACAGCCUGCAACUGAGAUCUGUCUUUCCCAAAUACUCUUCCCUUACAGCUCUAUGGUGCUGAGUCUCAGGAGCAUGUUUUUAAACAAUUUCUUUUUAUGGCCACACCCAUGACAUGUGGAAAUUCCCAGGCCAGGGAUUGAAUCAGAGCCACAGCAGUGACAGCACUGAAUCCUUAACAUCUAUGCCAUCAAGGAACUCCUCAGAAGCAUCUUUGAUACUGUUCAUCCUUAGCUAACCACAGCCUGAAGUAAUAGAAUUAGGUGGUUCACCUGAGACUAAAAAGGUGGAUUACUUAGGCUCAUCACACAAACCUUUUGUCACUAAGCUGAGUAGAAAUGACUUCCACAAAGACAUAUAAUGAAGAAAAUGUAUGAGAUAGGUUAAAAUUCAGUGGGAAUAACAGAAGAAUCCAGACCAUGGAUGCUUUCAUUGGCUUUCUCAUUCUCUGUCUGGACACAGCCAGUGUCUUCUUCAAACUCACAUCUGCAGGCAUAAAAUUCCAUGGACAACUGGGCUGAGAGUGAACCACUGAGAGAAGGGCACUUCAGUCCAUAAGAGUGAUCAGUGUUCCCCAAACCAAGAAGAAGCUUCAAGUCUUUCUCUGGUAAGUGGAGAAACUGAACUCAUAUCUGUGUAUAGUUUCCUGGAGCUAAAAAAGGCAACUAAAGAGUUUAUUCUCCUUAUCCACCACUGUUUCUACUAACAAAAUAAUAUAGAAGAGAACUGAAUGAGAAGUGUGGAAAGGAAAGGAGACGCUUUACAAAUGUCCAAUUCUGCAGACUUUUCUGCCAAGGGAGCCUUGUUAGCCAAGAUUUCCAACAAUUCAUAAAUAAAUUCCAAUAUUGGCACAUACCCCUUCCCACCAGUUUAUGGCAAUUGCCAUUCUCUUCUCUGCUUCUCUGAGAAUAGAAUUUUAGAUUCCACACAUAAGAGGUAUCAUAGAAUAUUUGCUUUCUGAGUCUGAAUUAUUUCACCUAGCAUGAUGUAUGAAGUUCAAUUAAGCAAGAGCUAUUGACAUUGAAUGUACAGCAAAAUGAGUAGAGAUAACAAUACUGAAUUGUGUACUUGGUAUUUGCUAGGAAGAAGGAUAUUAAGUCUUUUCAACACACACACAAUAAAAUAAUAACUACAAAGAGGUGGGGAAUUCAUUAAUAAGCUUGAUUGUGGUAGCUAAUUCACAAUGAACAUGUAUCAAUAACAAUGUACUGUACACAUUAAAUCUACAUUUAUGUGACAACUAUACCUCAAUAGACCAAUUAUAAAAAUAACUAAUAUAUUCUCUCUUGGGAAAGAAGAAGAAAUACAUAAGUCUUACUACUAGCAAUGUUAUUGCUCAAUCUAACACACAAGAGUCGCAAUCACUAGUAUCAAUUUAGAUGUCACAAUUCAUACUAAGAAAUUCCUAGCAAAACAGAAAAUAAAUAGAAUAGAAUGCAGUUCAUGUUAUGAAAUAGUGAGCAUUUAUACCAACCUGGGCUUGAGAUAAGGGGUGUAAGAUCUGGGGUUAUGUGACUAUAUGUGUCUGUUAUAAAGAUGAGCAAACAUUACUGAGACAAGACUGAUACCUUGUGGAAGAGUUUCUCAAGGGCCCCCUUCAUGUCCCUGUUCCUCAGGCUGUAAAUGAAGGGGUUCAGCAAAGGGGUGACCACUGUGUACAUCACAGAGGCAACUAUGUCCUUGUCACUGGAGGUGCUGGAUGAGGGGACAAAAUAUAGCCCAAUAAUUGUUCCAUAAUAGAGGGAAACCACUGAGAGGUGGGAUCCACAGGUGGACAAGGCUUUGAAGAAGCCCUUGGUGGAUGGAACCUUGAGGAUGGUGAUCCCAAUGCAGCCAUAAGAGACCAAGAUGCAAUUUAAUGGGAGGAUAAUGAUGGCCACUCCUGCUAUGAAAAUAACCAGCUCAUUGAUGGAUGUGUCUGAGCAGGAGAGCUUGAGGAGGACAUCAAGGUCACAGAAGAAAUGGGGAAUGGUGUUGUCAGCACAAAAUGACAGCUGGGUCAGGAGGAGGGUGUGACAAAGGGCAUUGGCACACGAUAAAAUCCAAGAUGCAGAUAUUAGUAAGGUACACACUCCCUCUCUCAUGAUGGUGGUAUAAUGGAGAGGAUGACAAAUGGCAAUGUACCGAUCAUAUGCCAUCGAGGUGAGAAGGAAAUUGUCUACAUCAGUAAAAAGUAGGAAAAAAUACAUCUGUGUUACACAUUCUGCAUAAGAAAUGAAUGGAUAUUUAGUCUGCAUGUUCAUCAGCAUCUUUGGGACAGUAACAGAUGAAAAGGAGAUGUCCGUGAGGGCCAAGUGGCUGAGGAAGAAGUACAUGGGGGUGUGGAGGCGAGGGUCCAGCCUGAUGAGCAGGAUGAUGAGCAGGUUCCCCAGCACUGUUGUCAGGUACAUGCCCAGGAACAGGGCAAAGAACAAGCCCUGCUGCUCUGGUUGGAUGGGGAGCCCCAGGAGGAGGAAUUCGGACACACUGCUUUGGUUGUCCAUCCUCAUGCUCCUCUCCUGUCUGCUGGGGAAGGAUGGGGAGUAAGAGAAGCAUAAAUCAACAUAAUUUGAUUUAUAGAAGCCAGGAAAAGAAGAAGCAUUUCUACUGGUGAAUAUGCCAGCAUCUGAGUACACUGACCUGUCCCUGAAAAAAUCCUUUAAAGUGGAUUGUAUCAUCACAUGAAAUGAGCAAAUUUACAAACAAAGAAGAGAGUUUGAUACAGAAGAGAAACUAGCUCAGUGGCAUUUUUCCAUCAUCUAUGGGAGAGGCAGCCUCUAAGUCAUGACUUGCACCUGUGUCUUGUUAGUAAAGAGAAAGUGUCACACUGUCUUAGCAUAGGGAUAGUAAAUUCAAGUGUCCUAAUUUCUAUUCUGUUUGUACACUUAAAAACAAUCAUAAGGAGUUCCCAUCAUGGCUCAGUGGUACUGAAACCGACUAGUAUCCAUGAGGACACAGGUUUCAUCACUGGCCUUGCUCAGUGGGUUAAUGAUCUGGCAUUGCCUUGUGGGGUGGUAUAUCUUGCAGAUACCUCCUGGAUCACCCAUUGUUGUGGCUGUGGUUUAGGCUGGCAGCUAGAGCUAUGAUUCAACUCCUAGCCUGUGAACUUCCGUACACUGUGGUUGUGGCCCUAAAAUUACCAAAACAUAAAAAUAUUAAAAGUAAAAAACAGUCAUGAGAGUUCAGCUUCAUGUUGUGAAAUACUGAACAUUUAAAUCUGAAACUCAUAAUCAAAGUAUAUAGAGAAAAAUUCAACAACAUAUACUGAAAGCAAAGUGGAUCAAAAAUAGUCAAAAUGUCCACUAUGUAUAAAGAUUAAAAAGAAAUAUAUCUGUUGAUUAAACCAAAGUGUUUUUGAGUUUAGUCAUGCAGUAUAACUGCUUGAAAAGCUAAAAAUUUUACUGGCAGUUAUGUAUUAUUUUACUACUAUUCAUGAUUAUCAAUCUCCUCCUAAUUCAACAACCUCUCAUGAGCCUGUCAACAUCCACAAUCACUAAUGAAAAGUGCUCUUGUCAAGAGAAGUCAGAAUCAAAUUAUGUUCGCCCUCCCCUUUAAGGAACUAGUAAUAAGAAGUGGAUUAAGCAAGAGCACAGAGAAAUACUGGGCACCUGUGAAGAGACACAGAGACAAAUACACACACACCUGCUUCCAGUGAAAGAUAUCCAGUUCUUCUCUGAACUAUAUGCUCAAGUGAUUUAGCUGCAAGGACUAUGGGUUAGUUUCUUACAUUUUCUGUAGGACAUUGGGACCAUAUAUAGCCACAACUUCUGUGGUCCUGAACUUCUCACCAGCAUCAGAGAGAAGAGUCAUAAGUUUAUAGCUUACUCAUCAGUUAUUUCACCACUUUCAGAAAUGGAGAGGUGAAGACUGUGUUAUACCCACGAGGGAGAGAACUGAAGGGCAUAGGGCACCAAGUUCUUACUAAGAGACAUGCAUUAAACCUGUGUUAAUUGCUCACUUUUCCUCCUCCUGCCUCCAGGACAGAUGCCCUAGGACAGUGGUCCCUAAACCAGGAUGUUCUGUAGAAUCGCAUGGGGAGCUUGUGAAAGAUGCAGAUCCCAGCUCCACAUCCAAUGAUGCUCAUUCAUGAGACCUGGGGCCAGGUGAUUCUCAGGCAGAUGGUUCUCAGGGCAGAAUGUGAGGCAACACUGUCCUUAGUAAGAACAUCAGGGAGAUGCCAUUUGUGCAGGAGCCCAGACUGAGAUGUGGGCAGAACUCCUGACUUGUCUUUCCUAAAAGAUUCAUGAUUCCCCUGACAGGUCAUACUCUGGGGUGUGAAGAAGGAUUUUUCUCCCCAGUGGAUGUUCCUAUUUGAUUUGCUACUUUUAAAAUGAAUUCCACUUCCUGAUGGGAAUCCAAAUAAAACAAACAUGAAACAAAUGACAAAGUCAAACUACUUCACCCUUCCAUUGUUCAUUUUUUAUCUUCCUACAAUGGUUUCUAUUAAUUAAAACUUUCCUGCAGAUCUUUGCUUCUAUUGAGAACCCAAUGACCAGGCACUGACUGCUACCCCUAUACAUUGUCUCCUUCUCCUUGAAAACACAUUAAGCAUCCUGACGCUAACACCCUCCUCACACCAAAGAAAGAUACAGCAAAUAUUCAAAUUCCCACACCAAAAAUAAAUAGUACCCCCCCAAAAAAAUUCAAAGAGGUAUUCUUGCAUAGAAAUAGCAUUAAAAGACUACAGUUUGGCUUCCCCAAA
rnacentral:lncRNA from 1 species